GUUUCUUUUCCCCAUCUACGCGCGGGACCUGGGUGUGCCGUCACCCGCAUCCCAUGCUUUCCCUCCAUCCGAACGGAAUGUGCAUAGUGCCGCGAGCGGAAAGAGGGAGGGAGUGGGCUGAACUGAGCAGCGGCCGAAAGGGGCGGUCUAGAGCGAAAGGGGGGUUGGGGGUGGAUUGGCGGCCGCCGGCGGUACUACCGGCGGCUCAGGGGCCGCUGCCACUUGGUGGGGCGGCUGGUUGUGGAGCUCUGGGAGCGGGAGCUAAGAAGUAGACGGCGUAGCCGGCGACGAAGAUGGCUGGGAGACGAGGUGGGAGGAGGGAGGGGAAGCGGGGGGAGGCGAGCGCGGCGUCGGCGCUUGCCGCUGGGCAAGCAGCUUCUCUUGCCGCUCCUACUUAGGGGAGGCUAGGAGGGGUGGGGGCUGAGGGGCCAGCAAAGGGCGCUCGGCAGUGGCAACAGGAUGGUCUAGUGGCAAUGGCUGGGGUUCUUCGUGCUACUCCGGCGGUGGCCUCGCCGCCCGCAGUAGGGACCGAGGCCGUCGAUGAAGAGGAUGGAGCAGUGGUGGGCCUGGCGGCUGCCGUCGCUCAAGGCGCACGCCGCCGCGAAGGCGCUGCACCACUGGGAGCGGCUGGCGGAGCGCCGGUGGGUGGCGCCGGAGAAGCAGGGCCGCGCGGGGCUGUUCUCGUAGCACCUUCCCGUCCAGUACGUCGCCGUACUUAAGCACUUGGUCGCGACGCAGCGCCAGGUCGCGAUGGAGACGGCGUAGCGGCGCGUGGGGUGGCAACGGGCCUCGCUACUGAAGGCAUGGAAGGAGUGACUAGGAUCGCCAUAGGGCUGGAGGCUCCCGCUCAGCGGGUCCAAGUUGGGGAGCUAAUGACGGCGGAGCGGCUGCCGACAAUGGUGUGGUUGCUGCGGAUGUUUCCCGCCCGCUCUGAAAAAACCAUACAAGUUCCUGGACUUCGUCUGCCAACGCUUACCCAACUACCGCCACUCCGGCGGAGGUCACCUCCUCCUCUGACUGCGUUUCAAGGAGAAGGUGUUCCGGUUCGAGCUCGUUGACCUCGUCGUUGAGCGUCGCUGUAGAGUCGUCCGUCUCCGCAAACGAUUUCGAGUACUCCUAAAAUCUUGUUGAUGUCGAGUGAACCCUUACUGUAAGCAAUUCGACCGUUUCAAACUUUUCCUGGUUAGAUGUACGUCAAGAGUGUCUUGAGCUCGAUAAUUAUAAUUGUUAAAACGUUUACGACAACAGUUUCAGUCGUCCAGAGUCUGUUUUGACCUACGACUUUAACACUUUGUAGACCUGUGAUAGGUAUUUAUGGACCUCUGCUACUGAAGACAAGUGUUACGUAAAUGACUAGCGAGAUUACGAAACGAAGUAUAGGUUUCAGAUAGUAGACUGAAUAAACGAAACGUGUUGGCCCACCGCUUUGAACUUAGACACAGUAGUUCUCCUUAUCUAGUCCUCUCCUGCUCCAUAGUCUUCCAACUUCUUGACUUUCUUUGUUAUUCUUGUAGUCUUCUGCGCUUUUCAGUACGUGCGUUUCUCAUACUUGAAUAGUUCCUUUUGUUGUACUUACUUUAAUUCUCUAAAUUAUUUCUCUAUGCGGUCCUAAACCACCUCUACUACUUUCCGAAACAUUGUUCAGUCCAACUUGUCAGUCUAUUAUAACGAUCAUAUACCCGUUUCAAUCGUCUUCUGUGUUUUCCUAUACGUCUUUCCGCGUCGACUUCAUCCUACAUUUAUAUCUAUGUCAAAGGUGAGGAGUUCCCCGUGGCGUGGCCCAGUUCCUAAAAGAACCUACAUCGAUAGAGGCCUACACAUGGACUUUUAAACAGUCCUUUCUUUCUUGUUUAGGAACUAGCGUUUUGG
rnacentral:rRNA from 1 species